rnacentral:rRNA from 1 species
CCUACAGGGGGCAGCAGUGGGGAAUAUUGGACAAUGGGGGCAACCCUGAUCCAGCCAUGCCGCGUGUGUGAAGAAGGCCCUCGGGUUGUAAAGCACUUUCAGUGAGGAAGAACGCCUGGUGGUUAAUACCCAUCAGGAAAGACAUCACUCACAGAAGAAGCACCGGCUAACUCCGUGCCAGCAGCCGCGGUAAUACGGAGGGUGCGAGCGUUAAUCGGAAUUACUGGGCGUAAAGCGCGCGUAGGUGGCUUGAUAAGCCGGUUGUGAAAGCCCCGGGCUCAACCUGGGAACGGCAUCCGGAACUGUCAAGCUAGAGUGCAGGAGAGGAAGGUAGAAUUCCCGGUGUAGCGGUGAAAUGCGUAGAGAUCGGGAGGAAUACCAGUGGCGAAGGCGGCCUUCUGGACUGACACUGACACUGAGGUGCGAAAGCGUGGGUAGCAAACAGGAUUAGAUACCCUAGUAGUC